UACAGAGGGUGCAAGCGUUGUUCGGAAUUAUUGGGCGUAAAGGGCGCGUAGGCGGUUCGGCAAGUCUCUAGUGAAAUCUCUGGGCUCAACUCAGAGUCUGCUGGGGAAACUGCCGGGCUUGAGUGUGGGAGAGGAGAGUGGAAUUCCCGGUGUAGCGGUGAAAUGCGUAGAUAUCGAGAGGAACACCUGCGGCGAAGGCGGGUUGCUGGGCUGAUACUGACGCUGAGGCGCGAAAGCCAGGGGAGCGAACGGG
rnacentral:rRNA from 1 species